UACGGAGGGGGCUAGCGUUGUUCGGAAUUACUGGGCGUAAAGCGCGCGUAGGCGGCUUUGUAAGUUAGAGGUGAAAGCCCGGAGCUCAACUCCGGAAUUGCCUUUAAGACUGCAUCGCUAGAAUCAUGGAGAGGUUAGUGGAAUUCCGAGUGUAGAGGUGAAAUUCGUAGAUAUUCGGAAGAACACCAGUGGCGAAGGCGGGGUCACUGGCCCGAUACUGACGCUGAGGCACGAAAGCGUGGGGAGCAAACAGG
rnacentral:rRNA from 1 species